rnacentral:misc_RNA from 1 species
GAAAUGCGAUAAGUAAUGUGAAUUGCAGAAUUCAGUGAAUCAUCGAAUCUUUGAACGCACAUUGCGCCCCCUGGCAUUCCGGGGGGCAUGCCUGUUCGAGCGUGUCCGAGAAAGAGACUCACGCGGAAGAACGCGUGGUGGUGAAGGCGGCGGCGGGCCUGACAGGGCGGCCACCCCGGCGGAAUCGAUGGGCGGACUCCGGCCGCGUCGCAGAGCGUGAUAUCUUGCUAUCGCCUCGUGCGCGGCAGUGGUUUCCAGCCAAGGCCCAGAUGGAGGGCGGGCACAGCGCGACAUUGGAACUCCUCGAAUCAGGUAGGGAUACCCGCUGAACUUAA